rnacentral:lncRNA from 1 species
AGUCAUUGCUGUGCACUUGUGGUAAAGCACACCCAGAGCCAUAAAGCAUAGCACCACCAGCUAACUUCGGAUUGGUUCCUUGUCAUGAAGCAGGCAUCUGACCUCCUAGGGACCAAGGCAAGAUUGUGAUAAGAAAGUAGUGCAUAAAGGGUGGCUUCGACAACAUUCAUUUCUCACACACCUGGUGGCCGGCAAAGCCAAGUCAAGGUGCAAGGGUUUCUCUGUGUAGUUCUGACUGUCCUGGAACUCACUCUGUAGACCAGGCUGGCCUCAGAUUCACUUAGAUCUGCCUGCCUCUGCCUCGAUGGAUGGGAGAUCCCCCCCAGCCACCACCCCCCCCAACCACACAACUACCUUCCCGACUGGAACCAUUAAAGACCAGCUUGUCAUUCUGUCAUUUUUUUCUUGGGUCCUUGCCAAGCUCCAGCCAAACAAUGUCUCUCUGUGGAGUGUAUUCAGUCAGUAACAGGCAAGAAUAGCCAAGGAGGGCAAAGGGCUAGUUCUACUGGCCCGUCCAUCCACCGAAGCCCACCACUUGGCCAUGCUCAGGAAGACAUUGCCCCCUCGUGGUUCCUCUUAUAACUGAGCGAAAAGCAGAUUGCAAACACAAUCAAUAAAUCAAAACACAAAGUUUCCGAUUAAUUGUAGCUCUUCUUCUGGACCUUUUCUCCCGCUGUUCCAACGACUCUUGGUUUAUUUCCUCCCAGGAGGUACCUUUGUUACUAUAGAGCGCCGUGGCAGUAUGACAGCAACUUAAAACAGUUUCUUUUAGAAACUUUCCCACAUCUCCAGAUGCCAAAAACAAAACAAAACAAAAAAAC